rnacentral:rRNA from 1 species
AUGCACAAAGAGACAGAUCAAGAUCCAACAAAAUCGGCACCAUGCUUCGAACAAGCGAGCUCCCGUGCGCCAUCAGGCCACCACUGGCGCAAUUAUGCCUGCUCCGUCAGCCACCGUCCAUCCACAAGCGAUCUCCCGCGCGCCCUCAUGCCGCCGCCAGCGCAAUCAGGCCUGAGAGAGAGAGAGAGGAGGGCGCUCACGUGCCUGGAUCUGGCAGCCGCUGCCGCUGCCGCCGACGACUUUGCUGUUUGUCCGACCGCCGCUCGCCGAUCUGGCGCUGUGGUCGCUGACGAGAGAAACGUUUCUGUUCGACGAGGGGUGAGAACGAGAGAAAAACGAUUCGGUGGGUGA